UGCAGUUUGGAUGAAAUAAGAUUAUGAUGCAUGGGCAUUUUUCAUUUAUGGUGAUGAUCUUCAUCUCACUAAUUUGUAUAUUCCUUUUGCUAAAUUUUUUGAAUUUAUUAUACUAAUAAGGUCCGACCCUUGUUUGAACCGAGUUACAUCCUUUUUCCAGGCAAAAAGAGAAGAAGAAGACAGAAUUCUCUCUUUUAUCAUAUUUAUCCUCUCCUACUAAGGCGUGCGUAUUUUUAUAUAAAAACAUCUCUUCAAUAACUUUCGGUCUCCUUUAUUCACUACAAAACACCCACCUCCCAACCCUCUCUCUGUUCAAUCUCCUUUAUUGACUAUACAAAACUAGACAAAAAAUUUUCAUCUAGUUCAGGCUGUUCAGCAAUAGCAGGGUCUUCAGGUGCACUAUUCUAGCAACUUGUAUUAAACACUGUUUGGUAUUAGCGCAUUUUCUGCUGAUUAUUACUUAUUGUGGAGAUGAGUCUAUAUAUAUAUAUAUAUAUAUAUAUAUGAUGUUAAAAAGGAGCAUGGCUAUUCACCACAUCACAUGGCAGCAUCUUGCAUCCAGUUUUGGCUAAAGGCUGUUUAGCAAGAGAGCACUACUGUGAUACAAGCGCACCAUGGUAAAAUGCAUUUGAUAUGAGUAAUCAAUGGGCAAGGGCAUUCAUCAGUCAUAAGCACCCAGAUUUGUGUCCCUUAUAUUAUUACAAAGGGCACAAUAGUACUGCUCACUGGUAUUAUCUUCAAUGAACAAAGCAUAAAGUGUGAGUUGAUGGAAUUUAAUGGCAAUCUUUUGCUGUAGUGGAAGGCAAUGUGUGAUGAUUAAGAUUGCAUUGCACACAACUGCAAAAGCCGAAGCUGCACAAUUUACCACAGACACUUCAUAGUAGCAUGGUAGGUAGAUUUAAAAUAAGAAAGAGUAUAUGCUUGCAGAGGUGAUGUUUCAAAAUGGGCCUUUUAAAAGUGCAUGGAGUGUUGAAGUGGUCACUUCCAUGCAAUGAAAGACAGAGCAUCCAUGCUCUUCACAAAAUAUGUCAACAGUGCUGUGAGCAGGUCGUUGCAUCUGAGGGCAAUUCAGCACAUAAUUUAUGGAGCAGAGAAGAGCAUCUAUGCUCUGCAUGGCAAUAGGCUAAACAUUUGACACAUUCAACACAAGCCUUGCAUGCACCAUCCUUCAUAUGGCAGUUCCAGCGGCAGAGAAUGAUAGUGCAGUGGAGAAAGAAGAGGCAAUCAAGACAACCAUGGACCUCACCUAUAUGUUCCAUUCACAAGCUCCACACCCGAUUUUGCAGUCAAGCUGUGUGUGGAAGACCAGUGGAUGCUGAUGGUUGAAAUGAAUGACAGAUUUGUUACAUCAUAUAGUCAGCACUUUACCUUUGAGAGGAGCUAGAUUGUUCCUUUAGUCAGAGAUUCAAGUUGCCAGGGCCAAGGCGAGAAAAGAAUGCUGAAAUAUAGAUUUCUUUUUUGGGAGGCUUUAGUCCUAUAUAACCGAAUUUUGGUAUACUGCAGAUGUUAGAACUGAACUUUUCCCAUCUUCAUGUGCUGGAAAAGAAUUUACAGUUCAUGAAUGCAAAGCCAUAUUGAUAGUAUGCAAAGGCUUGAGUCUAGUCUGUACAAACUACACCUGUCUGAUAUUCAUUUUUCGAGGAAAUAAUAAGACCAGCAAGCUUCCUGAUGAGUUGAUUCAUAAUCAACUUAUGCAAUCCAAUUUUAGUGCAUUAAUUUGUAACAUGAAGCAAACAAGUCUCACACUCAAAAAUAUGAUAUUUAUUUGCUUUUGAUGCAGAGAAUAACAAUAUCGGAUGUCAAGUGUUAGCAGUGAUUCUUAUUGACUUGCUUGAGAACGUAAGUUGAACCAUCAAACAGGAAGGCUGUCU